AUAUCUCAACCACACCACAGUGGAUGUGGCUUGGAAUUGGGGGUUAUGCAGGCUCUUUCUUGCGGUCUGCUCCCCUGAAAUGCAUGAGUGGUCAAACCUCUGUUAGGUGUGAUAAUUAUCUGCAUCUGAUGGAAAGGUCUCAUGGCUGCUGCUAUACUUCGUUGGAGUUGAUAA
rnacentral:misc_RNA from 1 species